rnacentral:rRNA from 1 species
GUUUGAUCCUGGCUCAGAACGAACGCUGGCGGCGUGCCUAACACAUGCAAGUCGAACGUGAUUGGAAGCUUGCUUCCAUGAAAGUGGCGCACGGGUGAGUAACGCGUGGAUAACCUGCCCUGGUAUCCGGAAUAACAUCUCGAAAGGGGUGCUAAUACCGGAUAAKCCUACGGAGCCUUCGGUCUCUGCAGGAAAAGGUGGCCUCUAUUUAUAAGCUACCGUAUCAGGAUGGGUCCGCGUACCAUUAGCUAGUUGGUGGGGUAAUGGCCUACCAAGGYGACGAUGGUUAGCUGGUCUGAGAGGAUGAUCAGCCACACUGKAACUGAUACACGKUCCAKACUCCUACKGGAGGCAGCAKUGGGGAAUUUUGCGCAWUGGGGGAAACCCUGACGCAGUAWCKCCGCGUGAGUGAUGAAGGCUUUCGGGUCKUAAAGCUCUGUCARAGGGKAAGAAAUGGGUCUGGCUAAUAUCCAGAUUCCUUGACGGUACCCUCAAAGGAUUCACCGGCUAACUCCGUGCCAGCUGCCGCGGUUAUACA